AGUGAACGCUGGCGGUAGGCCUAACACAUGCAAGUCGAACGGCAGCACAGUAAGAGCUUGCUCUUACGGGUGGCGAGUGGCGGACAGGUGAGGAAUACAUCGGAAUCUACUUUUUCGUGGGGGAUAACGUAGGGAAACUUACGCUAAUACCGCAUACGAACUACGGGUGAAAGCAGGGGAUCUUCGGACCUUGCGCGAUUGAAUGAGCCGAUGUCGGAUUAGCUAGUUGGCGGGGUAAAGGCCCACCAAGGCGACGAUCCGUAGCUGGUCUGAGAGGAUGAUCAGCCACACUGGAACUGAGACACGGUCCAGACUCCUACGGGAGGCAGCAGUGGGGAAUAUUGGACAAUGGGCGCAAGCCUGAUCCAGCCAUACCGCGUGGGUGAAGAAGGCCUUCGGGUUGUAAAGCCCUUUUGUUGGGAAAGAAAAGCAGCAGGUUAAUACCCCGCUGUUCUGACGGUACCCAAAGAAUAAGCACCGGCUAACUUCGUG
rnacentral:rRNA from 1 species